rnacentral:rRNA from 1 species
UACAGAGGGGGCAAGCGUUGUUCGGAAUUACUGGGCGUAAAGGGCGCGUAGGCGGCCUGUUAAGUCGAACGUGAAAUCCCCGGGCUCGAACCCGGGAACUGCGUCCGAUACUGGCAGGCUUGAAUCCGGGAGAGGGAUGCGGAAUUCCAGGUGUAGCGGUGAAAUGUGUAGAUAUCUGGAGGAACACCAGUGGCGAAGGCGGCUCACUGGUC